UUUUCUUUGGAUUAUGUUGGGAUGUUUACCUUCAUCUUUUCGUUAUUCUCAUUUUUCAUAAGCCUCAAAUUACCUACUCCUCCUGCCUGGUUUCUCUGGCUUUCUGGGACCUGCAUAGUCUUCAUGCAGGUGAAUCUGGCUGUACUCAAGUCUGAGGAAUAAGUUCUGAGUCUUAACUCCAAGGCAAGUUAGUCACCUUGUCUUCUGCAGGGCUGGCAGUUUGUUGGACACUCAGCUUGGUGCAAGGAGAUCACCAGCCUUACUCUCCUGCUGCCACGAGUGAAUUCCCUGAAACAAUUGAUUGUACUCCGAAAUUGUGAGCCAAAAAUUAAACUCUUCCUCCUGUAA
rnacentral:lncRNA from 1 species